CUCAACACGUGACACGAGCUUCCAAUAACAACGGAUUUUGUGUUUGAGCAAUGCCAAGAAAACGCAAAGGGGCUGAUUUGAGCCGCAGUACAAGUAAAGCUCGAAACUUGCGAAAAAGCAGAUCC